rnacentral:rRNA from 1 species
UACGGAGGGUGCAAGCGUUAUCCGGAUUCACUGGGUUUAAAGGGUGCGUAGGUGGGCAAGUAAGUCAGUGGUGAAAUCUCUGGGCUUAACCCGGAAACUGCCAUUGAUACUAUUUGUCUUGAAUUCUCUGGAGGUAAGCGGAAUAUGUCAUGUAGCGGUGAAAUGCUUAGAUAUGACAUAGAACACCCAUUGCGAAGGCAGCUUACUACGGAGACAUUGACACUGAGGCACGAAAGCGUGGGGAUCAAACAGUAUUAGAUACCCUGGUAGUCCACGCCCUAAACGAUGAUUACUCGACAUUAGCGAUAUUACUGUUAGUGUCUAAGCGAAAGCAUUAAGUAAUCCACCUGGGAAGUACGACCGCAAGGUUGAAACUC